rnacentral:rRNA from 1 species
AUUGAACGCUGGCGGCAGGCCUAACACAUGCAAGUCGAGCGGAUGAAGGGAGCUUGCUCCUGGAUUCAGCGGCGGACGGGUGAGUAAUGCCUAGGAAUCUGCCUGGUAGUGGGGGAUAACGUCCGGAAACGGGCGCUAAUACCGCAUACGUCCUGAGGGAGAAAGUGGGGGAUCUUCGGACCUCACGCUAUCAGAUGAGCCUAGGUCGGAUUAGCUAGUUGGUGGGGUAAAGGCCUACCAAGGCGACGAUCCGUAACUGGUCUGAGAGGAUGAUCAGUCACAAUGGAAAAUAGAGAAGGUGCAGACGACAAAGGGAGGCAGAGGGCGGGAAGGAUGGAGAAGGGGGGAGAGUCAGAACAAGAAAUGCGGCGAGUGUGAGGAAGGUAAGAGGAUAGUAGAGAAGUAUAAAUUGGGAGGAAGAGGAAUAAGUGAAAAACUUACUGUUGGGAAGUGACAAAAAGAAUAAGAGGCGGAUAAUUUGGAG